AUUGAACGCUGGCGGAAUGCUUUACACAUGCAAGUCGAACGGCAGCACGGACUUCGGUCUGGUGGCGAGCGGCGAACGGGUGAGUAAUGUAUCGGAACGUGCCCAGUAGUGGGGGAUAACGUAGUGAAACUUACGCUAAUACCGCAUACGAUCUAUGGAUGAAAGCGGGGGAUCGCAAGACCUCGCGCGAUUGGAGCGGCCGAUAGCAGAUUAGGUAGUUGGUGGGGUAAAGGCCCACCAAGCCAACGAUCUGUAGCUGGUCUGAGAGGACCACCAGCCACACUGAAACUGAGACACGGUCCAGACUCCUACGGGAGGCAGCAGUGGGGAAUUUUGGACAAUGGGCGAAAGCCUGAUCCAGCCAUUCCGCGUGCAGGAUGAAGGCCCUCGGGUUGUAAACUGCUUUUGUACAGAACGAAAAGGUUUCUACUAAUACUAGGAGCUCAUGACGGUACUGUAAGAAUAAGCACCGGCUAACUACGUGCCAGCAGCCGCCGUAA
rnacentral:rRNA from 1 species